rnacentral:rRNA from 1 species
AGUGAACGCUGGCGGCGUGCUUAACACAUGCAAGUCGAACGAGAACGGAUUAUAGCUUGCUAUAAUUGUCAGCUAAGUGGCGCACGGGUGAGUAAUGUAUAGGUAAUAUGCCUCUUACUAAGGGAUAACAAAUGGAAACGUUUGCUAAUACCUUAUACUCCUUAUUAACAGAAGUUAAUAAGGGAAAGAUUUAUUGGUAAGAGAUUAGCCUGUAUUGUAUCAGUUAGUUGGUGGGGUAAUGGCUUACCAAGACUAUGACACAUAACUGGUUUGAGAGGAUGAUCAGUCACACUUGAACUGAGACACGGUCCAGACUGCUACGGGAGGCAGCAGUGGUGAAUAUUGCACAAUGGACGAAAGUCUGAUGCAGCAACGCCGCGUGGAGGAUGACACAUUUCGGUGCGUAAACUCCUUUUAUAUGAGAAGAUAAUGACGGUAUUAUAUGAAUAAGCACCGGCUAACUCCGUGCCAGCCGCCGCCGUAACAC